AUUGAACGCUGGCGGCAGGCUUAACACAUGCAAGUCGAGCGAGCGGCGGACGGGUGAGUAAUGUCUGGGAAACUGCCUGAUGGAGGGGGAUAACUCCUGGAAACGGUAGCUAAUACCGCAUACCAUCAGAUGUGCCAAGAGGUGAGUAGCUAGUAGGUGGGGUAAUGGCUCACCUAGGCGACGAUCCCUAGCUGGUCGGAGAGGAUGACCAGCCACACGGGAACUGAGACACGGUCCAGACUCCGACGGGAGGCAGCAGUGGGGAAGAGUGCACAAUGGGCGCAAGCCUGAUGCAGCCAUGCCGCGUGUGUGAAGAAGGCCUUCGGGUUGUAAAGCACUUUCAGCGAGGAGGCGUUACUCGCAGAAGAAGCACCGGCUAACUCCGUGCCAGCAGCCGCGGUAAUAC
rnacentral:rRNA from 1 species